UACGGAGGGGGCUAGCGUUGUUCGGAAAUACUGGGCGUAAAGCGUGCGUAGGCGGCUUGGCAAGUCAGGGGUGAAAUCCCAGAGCUCAACUCUGGAACUGCCCUUGAAACUGCCGAGCUAGAAUCUUGGAGAGGUCAGUGGAAUUCCGAGUGUAGAGGUGAAAUUCGUAGAUAUUCGGAAGAACACCAGUGGCGAAGGCGACUGACUGGACAAGUAUUGACGCUGAGGUACGAAAGCGUGGGGAGCAAACAGG
rnacentral:rRNA from 2 species